AAGCGUGCGCAGGCGGUUUUGUAAGACUGUCGUGAAAUCCCCGGGCUCAACCUGGGAAUGGCGAUGGUGACUGCAAGGCUAGAGUUUGGCAGAGGGGGGUAGAAUUCCACGUGUAGCAGUGAAAUGCGUAGAUAUGUGGAGGAACACCGAUGGCGAAGGCAGCCCCCGUGGGUCAAAACUGACGCUCAUGCACGAAAGCGUGGGGAGCAAACAGGAUUAGAUACCCCGGU
rnacentral:rRNA from 1 species